GAUAACAGGCUGAUCUUCCCCAAGAGUCCAUAUCGACGGGAAGGUUUGGCACCUCGAUGUCGACUCAUCACAUCCUGGGGCUGGAGCAGGUCCCAAGGGUUCGGCUGUUCGCCGAUUAAAGUGGUACGUGAGUUGGGUUCAGAACGUCGUGAGACAGUUC
rnacentral:ncRNA from 1 species